rnacentral:rRNA from 1 species
UACGUAGGGGCCGAGCGUUGUCCGGAGUUAUUGGGCGUAAAGCGCGCGCAGGCGGCCUCGCGCGCCCGACGUGAAAGCCCCCGGCUUAACCGGGGAGGGUCGUUGGGGACGGCGGGGCUUGAGGGCGGGAGAGGGCGGUGGAAUUCCCGGUGUAGUGGUGAAAUGCGUAGAGAUCGGGAGGAACACCUGUGGCGAAGGCGGCCGUCUGGGCCGACCUGACCGCUGAGGCGCGAAGGCGUGGGGAGCGAACGGGAGUAGAU